rnacentral:rRNA from 1 species
UACGGAGGGUGCGAGCGUUAAUCGGAAUCACUGGGCGUAAAGCGCACGUAGGCGGCUUUGUAAGUCAGUGGUGCAAGCCCUCCGCUCAACGGAGGAACUGCCAUUGAUACUGCUUAGCUUGAGUUUGUGAGAGGAUAGUGGAAUUCCAGGUGUAGGAGUGAAAUCCGUAGAGAUCUGGAGGAACAUCAGUGGCGAAGGCGACUAUCUGGCACAAUACUGACGCUGAGGUGCGAAAGCGUGGGGAUCAAACAGG